UUGCAGAAGAGGUGACUUCAGUUUCUAGCUGCACAACAGCUGCCUCACAAUUGUGAAAGUGGAAGGUUCCCGAAAAGCAACAUCUGAGUUUGUCUUCUGAGCUCCACAUCUGCAUGCUGUGCACACAUCUACCCAUUGUUUGGGUGACAUUUCUCACUGUGUAUGAAGAUUUCCCUGGAUCAAAAAAGCUAAGGGCCUGGAAUGCCAACAGCAGAACCAAUGUGGUGGCCAGUGGUACAGCCUGCUACUGCUAUCAAGUAACUCAUGUCGCAGAUGGAGGUGGCUCCAGUCAGUCUGUGAAGAACUUUAUUCCUCUGCUCCCUCUAAAUCUCUCUUGA
rnacentral:lncRNA from 1 species